UGAGAGUGAUGAGUUGCACACUGGUGGAGC
rnacentral:piRNA from 3 species